CCCUUAGAUGUCCUGGGCCGCACGCGCGUUACACUGAUGCAUUCAACGAGCAUAUAACCUUGGCCGAGAGGCCUGGGUAAUCUUGUUAACAUGCAUCGUGAUAGGGAUAGAUUAUUGCAAUUAUUAAUCUUGAACGAGGAAUUCCUAGUAAUCGCAGUUCAUCAAACUGCAAUGAUUACGUCCCUGCCCUUUGUACACACCGCCCGUCGCUCCUACCGAUUGAAUGCUCAGGUGAGCCAUUCGGACUUUCAUCAUGCUGGUUUCCAGUUUUGAUGAAGGAAAGUCUUGCGAACCUUAUCAUUUAGAGGAAGGAGAAGUCGUAACA
rnacentral:rRNA from 1 species